UAAACUCAUUUUCAUAAAAUUUCACCACAACCGAUUAAAAACAUACUUUAGAUAAUUAAAAUGAUGGUAAGGUUACUCACAGCACUAGGAGUUUGAUAUACUCCUAUUCCCGGUCUUUGGGCACAAUCUCGUUACCCUUGUUAGAGGGCUCACCACCUAUACAUUAUACGUGACACGAAUUUCAAUAAAUUGUGUCAAUUUAUUAUAAACUAUUUCAGGCUCUGUAAAUCUAAAUGAAUGCAUGCGAUGGGAUGCAAAAUGUCCGAUUAAUCACUUAAAUGUGAUAUUCGACCUAAGUCACACUAUACUCGGUCUAAUCGACUAAAAUCUCCAAUUUCACUCCAAAUCAAUUCUUCUCACUUUUUACACUCCAAUUAUACCUAAAUUGCCUCAGUGACUGUGAAUGAGAUUCAAUUUAUUAGUCCCAGGUCAAUAAUCACACAUGUCUAUACGUUAAGCAAAAAUUCAAAUUUUCACACCAAAAUUUCCCAUUUAAUUUCUAGCCUCACCAAACAUCAAAUAUCACAAAAAUAUCAUGAAAUAUCAUCAAUUUCAGCCGCAAUAUCCUCCCUAGAAAAUUCGGCCAAUGAUGGGUAAUGGGAGAAAUUGAAUUUUUCUUGUUGGUUUGUUUCUAGACAUGAUAAACUAACUAAAAACACUAACAUAACUUAGAAUCAAAUCAAUCCAACUUCAUUCUCUCUCCAUACCCAUUCCAACCAGCCAUGAAUUCACCAUGAAAACAUGAAAUCUAACCAUGGAAAAUGGAAAAGAAAGCAUGGGUAGUGUAAAUCACAAGUCAAAAUCAAGAAAUUUUACCUUUAUUAGCUUAAUCCCUUGAAAUCCCCCACUUUUUCUUCAAUUUUUCCACCUAGGGUUCUUGUUUUUUUCCCUUUCCUCCUUUGUUCUUCUUUGGCCGGC
rnacentral:lncRNA from 1 species